AUACGUAGGGGACAAGCGUUGUCCGGAAUGACUGGGCGUAAAGGGCGCGUAGGCGGUCUAUUAAGUCUGAUGUGAAAGGUACCGGCUCAACCGGUGAAGUGCAUUGGAAACUGGUAGACUUGAGUAUUGGAGAGGCAAGUGGAAUUCCUAGUGUAGCGGUGAAAUGCGUAGAUAUUAGGAGGAACACCAGUGGCGAAGGCGGCUUGCUGGACAAAUACUGACGCUGAGGUGCGAAGGCGUGGGGAGCGAACAGGAUUAGAUACCCGGGUAGUCCACGCCGUAAACGAUGAAUGCUAGGUGUUGGGGAAACUCAGUGCCGCAGUUAACACAAUAAGUAUUCCGCCUGGGGAGUACGGCCGCAAGGUUGAAACUCAAAUGAAUUGACGG
rnacentral:rRNA from 1 species